UCAUCCUGUAACGAUGAACCCCACAGAGACGCGACGUCUCGAUAACCAACAUGAACUGAAGCCAAAACGUUUCUCUAAACGCUGACCCGUAACAGGCGAGUCUGUACAAACUAAUUAUCUCUGCCUGCCUCUCAAUGCUGAUUGGUCAAGAGAUGCUUUCUGACCGAAUGGCUUUCCAGGGACUCGCUCUCGUUUGUAGCUCCUGUCAUCACCGUCAAUGCGAGUCAGAGAAUAAAAGAGAGGAAAGAUACACAAGAAUGAGUGAAGCGAUAACAAAAGGAACAUCAGGUCUGGAACAAUAGCUAUGAAGAGUCUGGAGUUUACCCCAGGGGACACGGGGCACCCACAGAUGGACAAAGUGCCGGUCCAUGGCAGUGCACAAUCACAGAGUACAGACAGAACUUGAGGAGGAAACUGGAGAACUUAAUGGAAGCCCCUGAAGCACAGGGAGAACAUGCAAACUCCACAAACACAGGACAUUUCUGCAGGGAUGUAGUAGCUCAGUGGUUAAGGUGUUGGACUACUGAUCA